rnacentral:rRNA from 1 species
UACGUAGGCAGCAAGCGUUGUUCGGAAUUACUGGGCGUAAAGAGUUCGUAGUCGGUGCGGCAAGUUCGGUGUGAAAUCUCCCGGCUCAACUGGGAGGGUGCGCUAAAUACUGCCGUGCUCGAGUAUAGGAGAGGUAAGCGGAAUUCCUGGUGUAGCGGUGAAAUGCGUAGAUAUCAGGAGGAACACCUGUGGUGUAGACGGCUUACUGGACUAUAACUGACGCUGAGGAACGAAAGCGUGGGUAGCAAACAGG